rnacentral:rRNA from 1 species
GGGGGAACUGAAACAUCUAAGUACCCCGAGGAAAAGAAAUCAACCGAGAUUCCCCCAGUAGCGGCGAGCGAACGGGGAGGAGCCCAGAGCCUGAAUCAGUGUGUGUGUUAGUGGAAGCGUCUGGAAAGGCGCGCGAUACAGGGUGACAGCCCCGUACACAAAAAUGCACAUGCUGUGAGCUCGAUGAGUAGGGCGGGACACGUGGUAUCCUGUCUGAAUAUGGGGGGACCAUCCUCCAAGGCUAAAUACUCCUGACUGACCGAUAGUGAACCAGUACCGUGAGGGAAAGGCGAAAAGAACCCCGGCGAGGGGAGUGAAAAAGAACCUGAAACCGUGUACGUACAAGCAGUGGGAGCCUCUUUAUGGGGUGACUGCGUACCUUUUGUAUAAUGGGUCAGCGACUUAUAUUCUGUAGCAAGGUUAACCGAAUAGGGGAGCCGAAGGGAAACCGAGUCUUAACUGGGCGUUAAGUUGCAGGGUAUAGACCCGAAACCCGGUGAUCUAGCCAUGGGCAGGUUGAAGGUUGGGUAACACUAACUGGAGGACCGAACCGACUAAUGUUGAAAAAUUAGCGGAUGACUUGUGGCUGGGGGUGAAAGGCCAAUCAAACCGGGAGAUAGCUGGUUCUCCCCGAAAGCUAUUUAGGUAGCGCCUCGUGAAUUCAUCUCCGGGGGUAGAGCACUGUUUCGGCAAGGGGGUCAUCCCGACUUACCAACCCGAUGCAAACUGCGAAUACCGGAGAAUGUUAUCACGGGAGACACACGGCGGGUGCUAACGUCCGUCGUGAAGAGGGAAACAACCCAGACCGCCAGCUAAGGUCCCAAAGUCAUGGUUAAGUGGGAAACGAUGUGGGAAGGCCCAGACAGCCAGGAUGUUGGCUUAGAAGCAGCCAUCAUUUAAAGAAAGCGUAAUAGCUCACUGGUCGAGUCGGCCUGCGCGGAAGAUGUAACGGGGCUAAACCAUGCACCGAAGCUGCGGCAGCGACGCUUAUGCGUUGUUGGGUAGGGGAGCGUUCUGUAAGCCUGCGAAGGUGUACUGUGAGGUAUGCUGGAGGUAUCAGAAGUGCGAAUGCUGACAUAAGUAACGAUAAAGCGGGUGAAAAGCCCGCUCGCCGGAAGACCAAGGGUUCCUGUCCAACGUUAAUCGGGGCAGGGUGAGUCGACCCCUAAGGCGAGGCCGAAAGGCGUAGUCGAUGGGAAACAGGUUAAUAUUCCUGUACUUGGUGUUACUGCGAAGGGGGGACGGAGAAGGCUAUGUUGGCCGGGCGACGGUUGUC